GUGCCAGCCGCCGCGGUAAUACGGAGGGCGCAAGCGUUGUUCGGAUUCACUGGGCAUAAAGAGCACGUAGGCGGCUCGCUCAGUCGGGUGUGAAAGCCCACGGCCCAACCGUGGAACUGCACCCGAUACUGGCGAGCUCGAGGACGGAAGGGGUGAGUGGAACUCCAGGUGGAACGGUGAAAUGUAUAGAUAUCUGGAUGAACACCGGUGGCGAAAGCGGCUCACUGGUCCGUCUCUGACGCUGAGGUGCGAAAGCUAGGGUAGCGAACGGGAUUAGAUACCCCGGUAGUCCUAGCCGUAAACGAUGGGCACUAGGCAAUGGGCCGUCCUAUGAGGUUCAUUGCCGGAGCUAAUGUGUUAAGUACCCCGCCUGGGGAGUACGCUCGCAAGGGUAAAACUCAAAUAAAUUGACGG
rnacentral:rRNA from 1 species